rnacentral:ncRNA from 1 species
AUAAAAGCAAUGAAGGGAAGAGUAAGUAAUGGAAGCUUUUACAGAGAACUCCGUGUGUUGAGAAGGAGAAAGUGAAAACUACUGAAUAUGGUCCUUGAGCGAAUGAAAUUAAAGUGUAAAUCAUAAUUGUUAAUUAUGAUUUGAAUUUGGGUGGUACCGCGGGUGAAAACUCGUCCCAUGA